GACGUAGGGCGCGAGCGUUGUCCGGAAUUAUUGGGCGUAAAGAGCUUGUAGGCGGUCUGUCGCGUCUGCUGUGAAAUCCGGGGCUCAACCCCGGACUUGCAGUGGGUACGGGCAGACUAGAGUGUGGUAGGGGAGACUGGAAUUCCUGGUGUAGCGGUGAAAUGCGCAGAUAUCAGGAGGAACACCGAUGGCGAAGGCAGGUCUCUGGGCCACUACUGACGCUGAGAGCGAAAGCAUGGGGAGCGAACAGG
rnacentral:rRNA from 1 species